rnacentral:misc_RNA from 1 species
UCUCCGUUGGUGAACCAGCGGAGGGAUCAUUACCGAGUUUACAACUCCCAAACCCCUAUGUGAACGUUACCAAACUGUUGCCUCGGCGGGAAAUUCAUGCCCCGGGCGCGUCGCAGCCCCGGACCAAGGCGCCCGCCGGAGGACCAACCAAAACUCUUUUGUAUGUCCCUCGCGGACUUUUAUAAUUCUGAACCAUCUCGGCGCCCCUAGCGGGCGUUUCGAAAAUGAAUCAAGACUUUCAACAACGGAUCUCUUGGUUCUG